GCACUGAAGGUGAGAAUUGGAGGAAAACAAACCUGUAGAUCAUCAGGUUGUGUAGCAGAUCGAUGGGAAAAAACAUGAUCGCCGAUCGGUUUGUUUUCCUCCAAUUUCUCACCUUCAGUUG
rfam:Setaria italica strain Yugu1 chromosome VI, whole genome shotgun sequence.